GCAAACAACGUGCGAGCGCGGGCGUGAUAACGGAGUGGGCAAGCGUGAUCCGGAUUUACUGGGUGUAAAGGGAGCUGAGACGGAGUAGCAAGGCUGAUGUGAAAGGCAGGGGCUCAACCCCAGGACUGCAUUGGAAACGGCCAGUCUUGAGUGCCGGAGAGGUAAGCGGAAUUCCUAGUGUAGCGGUGAAAUGCGUAGAUAUUAGGAGGAACACCAGUGGCGAAGGCGGCUUACUGGACGGCAACUGACGUUGAGGCUCGAAAGCGUGGGGAGCAAACAGGAUUAGAUACCCGAGUAGUC
rnacentral:rRNA from 1 species